GAUGAACGCUGGCGGCGUGCCUAAUACAUGCAAGUCGAGCGAACAGACGCUGAGCUUGUUCCUCUCACGUUAGCCGCGGACGUGUGAGUCACACGUGUAUACCCUACCUAUCAUACUGGUAUAACUUCGGGAAACCGGAUCUAAUACCGGAUAAUAUAUUGCACCGCAUGGUGCAAUAGUGAAAUACGGUUUUGCUGUCACUUAUCGCUGGAUCCGCGCCGCAUUAGCUAGUAGGUAAGGUAACGGCUUACCAAGGCGACGAUGCGUAGCCGACCUGAGAGGGUGAUCGGCCGCACGGGAGCGGAGACACGGUCCAGAGUACUACGGGACGCAGCAGUAGGGAAUCUUACGCAAUGGGCGAAAGCCUGGCGGAGCAACGCCGAGUCAGUGAUGACGGUCUUGGGAUCGUAAAACUCUCUUAUUAGGGAAGAACAAAUGUGUAAGUAACUAUGGACGUAUUGACGGUACUUAAUCAGAAAGCAACGGCUAACUACGUG
rnacentral:rRNA from 1 species